CCUACGGGUGGCCGCAGUCGAGAAUCAUUCACAAUGGGGGAAACCCUGAUGGUGCGACGCCGCGUGGGGGAAUGAAGGUCUUCGGAUUGUAAACCCCUGUCAUGUGGGAGCAAAUUAAAAAGAUAGUACCACAAGAGGAAGAGACGGCUAACUCUGUGCCAGCAGCCGCGGUAAUACAGAGGUCUCAAGCGUUGUUCGGAAUCACUGGGCGUAAAGCGUGCGUAGGCUGUUUCGUAAGUCGUGUGUGAAAGGCGCGGGCUCAACCCGCGGACGGCACAUGAUACUGCGAGACUAGAGUAAGGGAGGGGGAACCGGAAUUCUCGGUGUAGCAGUGAAAUGCGUAGAUAUCGAGAGGAACACUCGUGGCGAAGGCGGGUUCCUGGACAUUAACUGACGCUGAGGCACGAAGGCCAGGGGAGCGAAAGGGAUUAGAUACCCUAGUAGUC
rnacentral:rRNA from 1 species